AUGAAAGAAACGCAGAGCGAAGGGUCCUUGGCCCAAACACAGGAUGGCAUGACCCAGCCAGGCACUUGGCUUUCUGGAAGGACCCUGUGCCCUUGCCGCCUGGCAGGUUCGACCAUCUGGUGGCCAUCGAGCUCCCGGGAAGGGCUGUGCGUGGCAAUUACUACAAUGCGGGAGAUGAAGAUCCAGCCCUUGGUGGACCCUGUGGGUAAUCCUUUCAGAUCACAGAGGAUUCCUGGAAUCUCGUCGAGAAUUUGAUAGUUUUCAAAGAGGUUUCACAACCAUUGCAUUGUUUAAAACCCGUCCUACGCCUCUCAAGGACUCUGUAAAGUGAGGACAACAGGGCCCUGGACAGGACACCCUGGGAGCAAACACCAUGAACUGCAUGGAUGCUGAACAGCAGAGACAGAUGUAGACAAGACACAGAGGCCAGGGGCAG
rnacentral:lncRNA from 1 species